rnacentral:lncRNA from 1 species
CCUUCCCCAGUGUGGAAGCUUUAGUUCUUUUGCUCUUUGCAAUGAAUCUUGCUGCUGCUCACUCUUUGGGUCCACGCUGCGUUUACACUGUGUUUAUGAGCUGUAACACUCACCACAAAGGUCUGCAGCUUCACUCCUGAAGCCAGCAAAGACCACGAACCCACCAGGAAGAAGGAACAACUCCAGACACGCAGCCUUAAGAGCUGUAACACUCACUGCCAAGGUCUUCAGCUUCACUCCUGAGCCAGCCAGACCAUGAACCCACCAGAAGGAAAAAACUCGGAACACAUCCCAACAUCAGAAGGAACAAACUCUGGACAUGCCGCCUUUAAGAACUGUAACAACGCAAGGGUCCGCGGCUUUAUUCUUGAAGUCAGUAAGACCAAGAACCCAAUUCCGGACACGUUUGGACCGCCCACAAGGGCAAGACUUCAUGAGGUUCUGGUGACCAAGCAUGCUCAUCGCUGUCCUGGGACUGCUCCAAGUGCAAUUCAAAGAUGUUUGUUACAAAUGAAGAUCCUCUCCUCAGAGAUCCUCAUUCCCUGCAUUUGAGAUGGGCCCUGGGAACCUUCAUUAUUAACUCCUGAAUUUCACUUGGACCAACACGGUGAUGGUGACAAGCCCAGACUGGUGCAUAUGAGAAGAGAAGACACAAGAAAACACACAUGGAAGAGAGUGAUGAAGGCGAAGACCGGAGUGAUGUAGCUCCAAGCCACAGAAUGUCAGAGAUCGCCAGGAGCCACCUCCGGGAUAAGUGGCGGUGGAGGACAUGACUUUUAUCUUUAGUGCCAAAGACACUAAGAGAAUGAACUCUUCCUGGUAACUAAUUAAGGUUUUAUUGCCUUCUCUCCCAUCAUCUCCUCUCUUUUCUAUUGUUUCUGUGCAGGUCCCACUUUCUGUAGUUGUUCUGGUUUUGACUUCUGUUUUCUCUUCCUUUCAGCAGAUGGAAAGGCAGCUCAACAUCUGAGAAGCCAGUCUUACUCCCUGCAGGCAACAGCUGCUUCCAGAAAACAGCCCUGUAAUUGUCACCAUCAAAUCCAUAUAUUUUCAAGGGAAGUUGGUCCCACACCAGAAGUCAUAGCUGAAUCACCAGCAGUAAUGCAGGGACAUACUGGUUGCUUCUUGGCUUUUCCAACCCUCUGCCAUGCUUGAACAUCUUUGUGAAAGUCCAGGAACAACAAAUAAGCUUAAGGAUAAAAGCCCCCCAGCCAUACCACCACAACCCCCUGUUAAACUCAUGCAUGACUUGUAGAAUCCUUUCCCCACUGUCACUAAAAGGCUUUUUACAUUUUCCCUCCUUAAAACACCAGUUUACUGAAUGGAACGCUAUUUCCUAAAUAUUUGCUACACACACAGCUGUAUAUAGAGUUCCCAGGAGAUGACUUUUUUCUUGUCAUCUUUUAAAACUACAGUUAUAUGUUGAUUUAAUUAUCUUCUCUCUAGAUUACUUCACCAAAGUACAGUUCCUACAGGAAGAUAAUGAUCUGACCUAACCUACUAUUGGCUGAAGGAAGGAGAAAAGCAGCUGAAGAUGUCUGUUGAGUGAUUACCCUCAUAAUCCGUGACUAAGAACAUCCAAAUCAGCAUGGCUUCUUCCUGUCUGAAAUUAUUACUACUUAGGGUUUUUCACGUGUUAUUUCAUUUAUUGAUUAUUCUGUUUUAAACUUGCAAGACGUAUUGUCUCUUCAGAAAUAAAACUUUAUCACUUGCUUCAUCAAUUCAA